UACGUAGGGUGCAAGCGUUGUCCGGAAUUAUUGGGCGUAAAGAGCUCGUAGGUGGCGGGUCACGUCGGGUGUGAAAGCCCGGGCUCAACCCCGGGUCUGCAUUCGAUACGGGUCUGCUAGGGUCCGGCAGGGGAGACUGGGAAUUCCUGGUGUAGCGGUGAAAUGACGCAGAUAUCAGGAGGAACACCGGUGGCGAAGGCGGGUCUCUGGGCCGGUACCGACGCUGGAGGAGCGAAAGCGUGGGGAGCGAACAGG
rnacentral:rRNA from 1 species